GAAUAUCCAUCCAGGAAGACGUUACCCGCCACCAGUCUCUCCCUCUCUGUCCACGCGUCCUUUUCCCAACCUUCCCUGCUCUCACUCUCUGUGCGCCCUUAAUUUGGCACGCACGCUCUGUUUUCUCACCUUCCAAUUUCUGUUUCCUCCCUCCCCUUUUCUUCUUCUCUUUGGUUUUCUUUUCCUCCUCUCUCUCUCCCUCUCUGCGCAUUGCGUUGGUUCGUUGGUUGGUCGGUUGCUUGGAUGGUUGGGUCAAAUUAACCUCUGCUUUUCUCUGCAGCAUCAGAUUCGCAAAUCUAGGUUUCUUGGUACCAUCAAGCUCGCGUUCUAUUUCUAUCUAUUAGCUGCAAACGAUGGCUUUGAAUCUCUCUCGUGGCUCAGUCUUGCCUGCGUAUCCUUCUUCUGUUUGGUACUCUAAUGGGUAUGUGAUGGAUCAAUACAAAGAAAAUAAUUUGGAUGGUGUUUGUGAUGAUUCGUCAAGUUCUUGGGGUUUCAAUUUGGAUUUGAGGAAUACCCAUUGGGGGACUGAAUUGGGUGGCUAUUGUGACCAUUCUGCUGAUGAUAUUGUGGAUCGGUUGCCUGUUGAUCCUUUUGGAAUGGGGAUAAGGUCUACUUUUACUGCUCUCACGGGUUGGCUUCAAGGUUUUGAAAAGGAACACGAAUCUUAUGGCUCUGGGUUGCAUGAAGCAUUUGGUGGUGGAUUAUUGGCAGGUUUCAAUUGGGCUUGGAAUAGUGCUGUGAUGUUUCAACCGGAAGUUUGUGACCUGAGAUUUGAUGGAAUAUCAAUUCCAUAUGAUAGCUUUGAUCAGUAUGGGAUCAAUGAUGGAGGUUUCGUGUUGGAUGGCAAUGUGGAGGAGUUUCUGAGUUUUAGCGGGAACUUGGAUUUUUGUGAUGGAGCUAAGGAACUGCAAGUCGAAACUAAGGACAUACAAGGUUGUAGCAUUAUGCACCCUAAUGGUGAGGGGAGUGCUCCACAUGAUGCUAUGUUUUAUGCAUUGAGUUUUCUUGGUGUUAAGGACCUUCUUUCAGUUGAAAAGGUUUGUAGGUCUUUUCGUGAUUCAGUUAGAAGUGACCCUCUCCUAUGGAGGAGUAUUGUCAUUGAUUGGCCGUUGAAUGAGAUUGUCACUGAUGAUGUUCUUAUAAAGUUAACUGACAGGGCUCAAGGCACUCUUCAAGCCUUGACUCUAGUGCAUUGUCUCCAUAUCACUGACUUUGGGCUGCAGAGUGUGUUUGACCGCAACCCAAAGCUGACAAAGUUAAGUGUUCCAGGAUGUCUUAAAAUAAGUGUUGAGGACAUCUUGUUAAACUUAUGGACCUUGAAGUCUGCAGGCAAACCUGGAAUAAAGCAGUUAAGAAUUGGUGGUCUCUCUGGUAUAACAGAGAGGCAGUUUGAAGAGUUGAAAUUCUUGCUUGGUGCAGAUAACUGUGUUCAGUUUAGAGCACCAAAACCACGGUUUUUUCAUGGUGGGCUGUCACAUCUCUCUUGUGAUGAUGAUUGUGCCAUCGACGUUGAAGAGUGCCCCAGGUGCCAGAAACUAAGUUUAGUUUAUGAUUGCCCUGCAAAGAGUUGCCAAGGGAAACAUCAUGUUGAUCAGAUGUGCAGGGCUUGCACGCUUUGCAUAGCUCGCUGUAUUAGUUGUGGGUGCUGCCUUCAAGACACUGAUUAUGAGGAGACAUUUUGUCUAGACUUGCUCUGUAUGGUUUGUUUGGAGAAAAUACUCAAAUGUAGGCAUGGAGAAAAGGGUGCUCCCAAGUGUGCCUUUUUUUGUCAGGAGAACAGGUAUCAAUUUUGCCUUAUUGGCUAAUGGAAAGACAUUGCAUAUUCGUUUGCUGUUGGUUGUGGAUUAGAAUCUACAAAGGGUGGUUGGCUGUUCAGAAAUGGGCACAAGCUAUUUAAUGCAUACUUGGUUGCCACAGUAAGGAGUUGUAUUACCAUGAGGAACUUGCAGCUUGUGAAGCUGGAGAUAAUCUCCGGAGGACCGGAGGAAGGAAAAGGGAAAUGAAAAAAAAAGGAAAAAAGGAAAUGAAAAAAAAAAAAAACAGAAAAAAAGGAGGAGGGAAGAAUAGAGAUGAGAGGAGGUUACAACAGAAAGGUUGAUUGAAAUAGGGGAAAGUAAAAAGAAAGGAGAGGGAAAGUAUAUCAGAGGUUGAGAAGUAUGGCUUGAACAUGUUUAGUUAGCUCUUGCCAAAGUGGUUCCUGUCCUGGAGGGAGACUUACCAACCCCAAGGACCAAAGGGCUAUGAAGAAAAUUUGGUAGGGGAAGUGGGGAAAUCAUCAUCGAAGUCGAGUAAGUUUUUUUGGGUGCAGAAGAAGAGCAGCAGCCAUUCAGGGGGGUGUCAAGCAGAAAGUUAUGGGAGAGCUGUCGGAGCACUGAUCUAUUUGUUAUAUACCAAGUUUGUGGAAUCUUGUUUUUAAGCAAAAUAAUCAAUAAAUAAGUUGUAUCCAUUUAUAAAAUAUAAACCAAUUUCGUUUUUUA